CGGCGGACGGGUGAGUAAUGCCUAGGAAUCUGCCUGGUAGUGGGGGACAACGUUUCGAAAGGAACGCUAAUACCGCAUACGUCCUACGGGAGAAAGCAGGGGACCUUCGGGCCUUGCGCUAUCAGAUGAGCCUAGGUCGGAUUAGCUAGUUGGUGAGGUAAUGGCUCACCAAGGCGACGAUCCGUAACUGGUCUGAGAGGAUGAUCAGUCACACUGGAACUGAGACACGGUCCAGACUCCUACGGGAGGCAGCAGCC
rnacentral:rRNA from 1 species